UACGUAGGGUGCGAGCGUUGUCCGGAAUUAUUGGGCGUAAAGAGCUCGUAGGCGGUCUGUCGCGUCGAUCGUGAAAACUUGGGGCUUAACCCUGAGCUUGCGGUCGAUACGGGCAUGACUGGAGUUCGGCAGGGGAGACUGGAAUUCCUGGUGUAGCGGUGAAAUGCGCAGAUAUCAGGAGGAACACCGGUGGCGAAGGCGGGUCUCUGGGCCGAUACUGACGCUGAGACGACGAACGUGGGGAGCAAACAGG
rnacentral:rRNA from 1 species